rnacentral:rRNA from 1 species
CCUACGGGAGGCAGCAGUGGGGAAUAUUGGACAAUGGGCGAAAGCCUGAUCCAGCAAUGCCGCGUGAGUGAUGAAGGCCUUAGGGUUGUAAAGCUCUUUUACCCGGGAUGAUAAUGACAGUACCGGGAGAAUAAGCUCCGGCUAACUCCGUGCCAGCAGCCGCGGUAAUACGGAGGGAGCUAGCGUUAUUCGGAAUUACUGGGCGUAAAGCGCACGUAGGCGGCUUUGUAAGUAAGAGGUGAAAGCCUGGUGCUCAACACCAGAACUGCCUUUUAGACUGCAUCGCUUGAAUCCAGGAGAGGUGAGUGGAAUUCCGAGUGUAGAGGUGAAAUUCGUAGAUAUUCGGAAGAACACCAGUGGCGAAGGCGGCUCACUGGACUGGUAUUGACGCUGAGGUGCGGAAAGCGUGGGGAGCAAACAGGAUUAGAUACCCUGGUAGUCCACGCCGUAAACGAUGAUAACUAGCUGUCGGGGCUCUUAGAGCUUCGGUGGCGCAGCUAACGCAUUAGUUAUCCGCCUGGGGAUACGGCCGCAAGGUUAAAACUUAAAUGAAUUGAACGG